AACUCUGGUAUUGAUUGGUGCUUGCAUCAUGAUUUACAUUUGAGUGAGUGGCGAACUGGUGAGUAACACGUGGGAAACCUGCCCAGAAGCGGGGGAUAACACCUGGAAACAGAUGCUAAUACCGCAUAACAACUUGGACCGCAUGGUCCGAGUUUGAAAGAUGGCUUCGGCUAUCACUUUUGGAUGGUCCCGCGGCGUAUUAGCUAGAUGGUGGGGUAACGGCUCACCAUGGCAAUGAUACGUAGCCGACCUGAGAGGGUAAUCGGCCACAUUGGGACUGAGACACGGCCCAAACUCCUACGGGAGGCAGCAGUAGGGAAUCUUCCACAAUGGACGAAAGUCUGAUGGAGCAACGCCGCGUGAGUGAAGAAGGGUUUCGGCUCGUAAAACUCUGUUGUUAAAGAAGAACAUAUCUGAGAGUAACUGUUCAGGUAUUGACGGUAUUUAACCAGAAAGCCACGGCUAACUACGUGCCAGCAGCCGCGGUAAUACGUAGGUGGCAAGCGUUGUCCGGAUUUAUUGGGCGUAAAGCGAGCGCAGGCGGUUUUUUAAGUCUGAUGUGAAAGCCUUCGGCUCAACCGAAGAAGUGCAUCGGAAACUGGGAAACUUGAGUGCAGAAGAGGACAGUGGAACUCCAUGUGUAGCGGUGAAAUGCGUAGAUAUAUGGAAGAACACCAGUGGCGAAGGCGGCUGUCUGGUCUGUAACUGACGCUGAGGCUCGAAAGUAUGGGUAGCAAACAGGAUUAGAUACCCUGGUAGUCCAUACCGUAAACGAUGAAUGCUAAGUGUUGGAGGGUUUCCGCCCUUCAGUGCUGCAGCUAACGCAUUAAGCAUUCCGCCUGGGGAGUACGGCCGCAAGGCUGAAACUCAAAGGAAUUGACGGGGGGCCCGCACAAGCGGUGGAGCAUGUGGUUUAAUUCGAAGCUACGCGAAGAACCUUACCAGGUCUUGACAUACUAUGCAAAUCUAAGAGAUUAGACGUUCCCUUCGGGGACAUGGAUACAGGUGGUGCAUGGUUGUCGUCAGCUCGUGUCGUGAGAUGUUGGGUUAAGUCCCGCAACGAGCGCAACCCUUAUUAUCAGUUGCCAGCAUUAAGUUGGGCACUCUGGUGAGACUGCCGGUGACAAACCGGAGGAAGGUGGGGAUGACGUCAAAUCAUCAUGCCCCUUAUGACCUGGGCUACACACGUGCUACAAUGGAUGGUACAACGAGUUGCGAACUCGCGAGAGUAAGCUAAUCUCUUAAAGCCAUUCUCAGUUCGGAUUGUAGGCUGCAACUCGCCUACAUGAAGUCGGAAUCGCUAGUAAUCGCGGAUCAGCAUGCCGCGGUGAAUACGUUCCCGGGCCUUGUACACACCGCCCGUCACACCAUGAGAGUUUGUAACACCCAAAGUCGGUG
rnacentral:rRNA from 2 species